rnacentral:rRNA from 1 species
UACGUAGGGUGCAAGCGUUGUCCGGAAUUAUUGGGCGUAAAGGGCUCGUAGGCGGUCCAUCGCGUCGGGAGUGAAAAGCUGGGGCUUAACCCCAGUCCUGCUUCCGAUACGGGUGGACUAGAGGUAGGUAGGGGAGAUCGGAAUUCCUGGUGUAGCGGUGAAAUGCGCAGAUAUCAGGAGGAACACCGGUGGCGAAGGCGGAUCUCUGGGCCUGUACUGACGCUGAGGAACGAAAGCGUGGGGAGCGAACAGG